CCUACGGGAGGCAGCAGUGAGGAAUAUUGGUCAAUGGACGAGAGUCUGAACCAGCCAAGUAGCGUGAAGGAUGACUGCCCUAUGGGUUGUAAACUUCUUUUAUAAGGGAAUAAAACGAGGCACGUGUGCCUUUUUGCAUGUACUUUAUGAAUAAGGAUCGGCUAACUCCGUGCCAGCAGCCGCGGUAAUACGGAGGAUCCGAGCGUUAUCCGGAUUUAUUGGGUUUAAAGGGAGCGUAGAUGGGUUUUUAAGUCAGUUGUGAAAGUUUGCGGCUCAACCGUAAAAUUGCAAUUGAUACUGGCAGUCUUGAGUACAGUUGAGGUAAGCGGAAUUCGUGGUGUAGCGGUGAAAUGCUUAGAUAUCACGAAGAACCCCGAUUGCGAAGGCAGCUUACUAAACUGUGACUGACAUUGAUGCUCGAGAGUGUGGGUAGCAAACAGGAUUAGAUACCCUUGUAGUC
rnacentral:rRNA from 1 species